rnacentral:rRNA from 1 species
GCGUGUCACCAUGUGAACCGCAGGACACACGAUCAUUGACAUGUUGAACGCAUAUUGCACCCCAUGCGA